rnacentral:rRNA from 1 species
GACGAACGCUGGCGGCGUGCUUAACACAUGCAAGUCGAACGGAAAGACGCUGCGUUUGUUGGGUGCUCGAGAGGCGAGCGGGUGAGUAACACGUGAGUAACCUGCCCUUGACUUAGGGAUAACUUCAGGGAAAUGGGGCUAAUACCGGAUAUGAGCUCCUGCUGCAUGGUGGUGAAUGGUAAAUUUCGGCGGUUGGGGAUGGACUCGCGGGUUAUCGGCUUGAUGGUGGGGUAGUGGCUGACCAAGGCUUCGACGGGUAGCCGGCCUGAGAGGGGGGCCGGGCCCCGGACGACUGUGGUACGGGCCAGAGCGGUACGGGAGGCAGCAGUGGGGAAUCUUGCACAAUGGGGCCACGCCGGAUGCAGCAACGCCGCGUUCGGGAUGAUGGCCUUCUGGUAGUAAACCGCUUUCGCCUGUACCGAAGCGUGAUUGACGGUACUGUGUAAAGAAGCACCGGCUAACUACGUG